CCAGCAGCNCCGGUAAUACGGAGGGUGCAAGCGUUAAUCGGAAUUACUGGGCGUAAAGCGCACGCAGGCGGUCUGUCAAGUCGGAUGUGAAAUCCCCGGGCCCUUCUUGGGAACUGCAUUCGAAACUGGCAGGCUGGAGUCUUGUAUAGGGGGGUAGAAUUCCAGGUGUAGCGGUGAAAUGCGUAGAGAUCUGGAGGAAUACCGGUGGCGAAGGCGGCCCCCUGGACAAAGACUGACGCUCAGGUGCGAAAGCGUGGGGAGCAAACAGGAUUAGAUACCCUGGUA
rnacentral:rRNA from 1 species